rnacentral:rRNA from 1 species
UACAGAGGUCUCGAGCGUUGUUCGGAUUCAUUGGGCGUAAAGGGUGCGUAGGCGGCGCGGUAAGUCGGGGGUGAAAUCCUGGGGCUCAACCUCAGAAUUGCCUCCGAUACUGGCAGUCUCGAGUGCGGGAGAGGUGAGUGGAAUUCCCAGUGUAGCGGUGAAAUGCGUAGAUAUUGGGAGGAACACCAGUGGCGAAGGCGGCUCACUGGACCGGAACUGACGCUGAGGCGCGAAAGCGUGGGGAGCAAACAGG